rnacentral:rRNA from 1 species
UACGAAGGGGGCUAGCGUUGCUCGGAAUCACUGGGCGUAAAGCGCACGUAGGCGGCUUGUUAAGUCAGGGGUGAAAUCCUGGAGCUCAACUCCAGAACUGCCCUUUGAUACUGGCGAUCUCGAGUCCGGGAGAGGUGAGUGGAACUGCGAGUGUAGAGGUGAAAUUCGUAGAUAUUCGCAAGAACACCAGUGGCGAAGGCGGCUCACUGGCCCGGUACUGACGCUGAGGUGCGAAAGCGUGGGGAGCAAACG